GCUGGUGUAGCUCAGGGGUAGAGCAGUGGUUUUGUAAACCACUGGUCGGGGGUUCAAAUCCCUCCACCAGCU
rfam:Candidate division TA06 bacterium 34_109 MPJ_scaffold_592, whole genome shotgun sequence.